AUUGGGUUCCGGCAUUGGAAUGAGAACAAUACAAAUCUUUUAACGAGGAUCUAGUGGAGGGCAAGUCUGGUGCCAGCAGCCGCGGUAAUUCCAGCUCCGCAAGCGUAUAUCUAUGUUGCUGCGGUUAAGAAGCUCGUAGUUGGAUCUGCGUGUUUAGCGUCCGGUUCGACUUUUGGUCGGCACUGGAACGCGACACAGAUGUGCUGGUUUGCCAUUGAUGCUCUUAACCGGGUGUCAGUGGUGGCUAGCGAGUUUACUUUGAAAAAAUUAGAGUGCUCAAAACAGGCGUUUCGCCUGAAUAUUUCUGCAUGGAAUAAUAGAAUAGGACUUCGAUUCUAUUCUGUUGGUUUUCGGAAUGCGAAGUAAUGAUUAAGAGGGACAGACGGGGGCAUUCGUACUGCGACGUUAGAGGUGAAAUUCUUGGAUCGUCGCAAGACGUACUACUGCGAAGGCAUUUGCCAAGAAUGUUUUCAUUAAUCAAGAACGAAAGUUAUGGGUUCGAAGGCGAUCAGAUACCGCCCUAGUCAUAACCGUAAACGAUUCAAACUGGGCGCCCGUCGGUGUUUUUAUUGACCCGACGGGAACCCUCCCGGAAACGAAAGUGUUCGUGUUCCGGGGGAAAUAUGUCUGCAAAGAGGAAACUUAAAGGAAUUGACGGAAGGGCACCACCAGGGGUGGAGCCUGCGGCUUAAUUUGACCCAACACGGGGAAACUCACCCGGCCCGGACACCGUAAGGAUUGACAGAUUGAGAGCUCUUUCUUGAUUCGGUGGGUGGUGGUGCAUGGCCGUUCUUAGUUGGUGGAGUGAUUUGUCUGGUUUAUUCCGAUAACGAACGAGACUCUGGCCUGCUAACUAGUGUUCACAUCUUUACGUGUGCUUCGCUUCUUAGAGGGACAGGCGGCUUCCAGCCGCAUGAAAAAGAGCAAUAACAGGUCUGUGAUGCCCUUAGAUGUCCGGGGCUGCACGCGCGCUACACUGAAAGAAUCAGCGUGUACGUUACCUGGCUCGAAAGAGUCGGGUAAUCCGGUGAAAAUCUUUCGUGAUUGGGAUCGGGACUUGCAAUUAUUUCCCUUGAACGAGGAAUCCCUAGUAAGUGCGGGUCAUCAGCUCGCGCUGAUUACGUCCCUGCCCUUUGUACACACCGCCCGUCGCUGCCCGGAACUGAGCCGUUUCGAGAAUAAUGGGGACUGUCUGCUUGAGGUCUUCACGGACUUUUUGCAAAUGGAAACCGCUUUAAUCGCAGCGGCUUGAACCGGGCAAAAGUCGUAACAAGGUUUCCGUAGGUGAACCUGCGGAAG
rnacentral:rRNA from 1 species